ACAGUUUGAUCAUAUUGACAAAAUUUUAUCUAUCAAAUCUGAGUCUAGGGUAUCAAAUAUGUAUAAUUUUAAAAUACAGGGUACCAUAUGAGCAUUAUUGAAAACAGAGGGUACCAAAAUGAUACUUUGCAAAAACAUAAGGUACCAAAUGAGUAAAUUCCCUAUAUUAUAUCUAUUUUCUCUUGGAUUUUCUUAGUGCAUGGAUUUAUCUAAAAUAGUUUGACAUUGGUUAUCAGACAUGACCAUAAGUUUGCCAGGACACUUUUGCGUUCUUGAAAUUUAUUUUUUAGGGUCCGGAUGGAUCCGAAACCCUAAUUCUGUUGAAAUAUUGUUACCAGUGGUCAGUGACUUGGUCAGUUACCACCUGUCUUCUCUACAUACUUUUGUUUUAAAGUUGAACUUACUAAGCGUUUUCGUUUACCUAGUUGUUUCCUGUUGUAGGUAAGAACAAGGGCAAAGUAGAGCAGUGAGCGCUGUAGUCUAAUUUGUGGGAAGCUGUUUUGUUUUUGGAUGUUACAUUUGGUAUCAGAGCUCAAGUUGAACCGGUUCUGUAGACAAUCCCCAUGUACAUUUCACAAAGAUAGACCGACACUCACUGUUAUGGCUGAUAUACCUGAGAUAGGUGACCCUAUGACAGAGAAACUACCCAUGAUCCCUUCGCCUAGGAUCGAUUACUAUAGACUCUUUAACGAUAAGAAUCCUUGACGCUUUGAGUACGAUAAAUGGCAUCAGCAUGUCGUUUGGAAAUGGACACAUUACAUGAUAGAAGUCUUUGAUAGGGCCAACACACCCGAGUGAGGAGAGUGCGAUAUGCCAGCACUUGUCUGAGAGGAUCGACACAGAGAUGGUUUCAUCAUAGCUGUUGGCGACUGGUUUGCGACACCUAGGAUGUCUUCCGUAUGCAAGGCAGUAGAGCCAGAGGAGGAUCCCAAGAAGUUGGACGAGGAUAUCAACAUAAAGGUGGAUAUCCUGAUGGAUAGCCUAGAUUAGGUUAUGUUGUGAGGAUCUUGUUGAUACUUUUUGUAAAGACUUCGCAAACCUAUUAGGUUUUAGGACUUUUAUAUAUUUGUAACAGGCGUAUGUAGAAACUUGACGUGUAGCUAGGGUUCUAUUUUGUAUUUAUCGAUCUACUAACUAAAAAUUUAUGGCAUGAUCUAUUAUGAUCAUUUUGUAUUUUUAGGUUAUAUCCCUGAAUGUUAUGGCUA